GGACUACUGGGGUAUCUAAUCCUGUUUGCUACCCACGCUUUCGUGUCUCAGCGUCAGUGAUGGUCCAGAAAGCUGUCUACACCGCAGGUGUUCCUCCUGAUAUCUACGCAUUUCACCGCUACACCAGGAAUUCCGCUUUCCUCUCCCAUACUCGAGCCCUCCAGUUUUCGGCGCACCCUCCCAGUUGAGCCGGGAAAUUUCACACCAAACUUAGAGAACAGCCUACACACUCUUUACGCCCAGUAACUCCGAACAACGCUUGCCCCCCUCGUAUUACCGCGGCUGCUGGCAC
rnacentral:rRNA from 1 species